CCAAAGGAUGGGGCCGCGACCGAUCAGGCUGUUGGCGAGGUAACGGCUCACCAAACCUAUAACCGGUACGGGCCGCGGGAGCGGGAGCCCGGAGAUGGGCACUUAGACAAGGGCCCAGGCCCUACGGGGCGCAGCAGUCGCGAAAACUUCGCAAUAAGCGAAAGCUUGACGGGGCCAUCCCGAGUGCCAUCUGCUGAGGAUGGCUUUUACCCAGUAUAGAUAGCUGGGAGAAUAAGGAGAGGGCAAGUCUGGUGUCAGCCGCCGCGGUAAUACCAGCUCUCCGAGUUGUAGGGAUGUUUAUUGGGCCUAAAGCAUCCGUAGCCGGCUGGACAAGUCCUCUGUUAAAUCCAGCGACCAAUCGUUGGUCUGCGGGGGAUACUGUCCGGCUAGGGGGUGGGAGAGGCCGUCGGUAUUCUUGGGGUAGGGGUGAAAUCCUAUAAUCCCAGGAGGACCACCAGUGGCGAAGGCUGUCGGCUAGAACGCGCCCGACGGUGAGGGAUGAAAGCUGGGGGAGCGAACCGGAUUAGAUACCCGGGGUAGUCCCAGCUGUAAACGAU
rnacentral:rRNA from 1 species